rnacentral:rRNA from 1 species
GAAGGUGAAGUCGUAACAAGGUCUCCGUUGGUGAACCAGCGGAGGGAUCAUUACUGAGUUUACGCUCUACAACCCUUUGUGAACAUACCUAUAACUGUUGCUUCGGCGGGCAGGGUCUCCGUGACCCUCCCGGCCUCCCGCCCCCGGGCGGGUCGGCGCCCGCCGGAGGAUAACCAAACUCUGAUUUAACGACGUUUCUUCUGAGUGGUACAAGCAAAUAAUCAAAACUUUUAACAACGGAUCUCUUGGUUCUGGCAUCGAUGAAGAACGCAGCGAAAUGCGAUAAGUAAUGUGAAUUGCAGAAUUCAGUGAAUCAUCGAAUCUUUGAACGCACAUUGCGCCCGCCAGCAUUCUGGCGGGCAUGCCUGUUCGAGCGUCAUUUCAACCCUCAAGCUCUGCUUGGUGUUGGGGCCCUACAGCCGAUGUAGGCCCUCAAAGGUAGUGGCGGACCCUCCCGGAGCCUCCUUUGCGUAGUAACUUUACGUCUCGCACUGGGAUCCGGAGGGACUCUUGCCGUAAAACCCCCAAUUCUCCAAAGGUUGACCUCGGAUCAGGUAGGAAUACCCGCUGAACUUAAGCAUAUCAAUAAGCGGAGGA